rnacentral:rRNA from 1 species
GAUGAACGCUGGCGGCGUGCCUAAUACAUGCGAGUCGAGCGAACGGACGAGAAGCUUGCUUCUCUGAUGUUAGCGGCGGACGGGUGAGUAACACGUGGAUAACCUACCUAUAAGACUGGGAUAACUUCGGGAAACCGCAGCUAAUACCGGAUAAUAUUUUGAACCGCAUGGUUCAAAAGUGAAAGACGGUCUUGCUGUCACUUAUAGAUGGAUCCGCGCUGCAUUAGCUAGUUGGUAAGGUAACGGCUUACCAAGGCAACGAUGCAUAGCCGACCUGAGAGGGUGAUCGGCCACACUGGAACUGAGACACGGUCCAGACUCCUACGGGAGGCAGCAGUAGGGAAUCUUCCGCAAUGGGCGAAAGCCUGACGGAGCAACGCCGCGUGAGUGAUGAAGGUCUUCGGAUCGUAAAACUCUGUUAUUAGGGAAGAACAUAUGUGUAAGUAACUGUGCACAUCUUGACGGUACCUAAUCAGAAAGCCACGGCUAACUACGUG